rnacentral:rRNA from 1 species
GACGAACGCUGGCGGCAUGCCUAACACAUGCAAGUCGAACGGGGGUAGCAAUACCCUAGUGGCGAACGGGUGAGUAACACGUGAGCAACCUGCCUUAUACAACGGGAUACCUGCGAGAAAUCGUAGUUAAUACGGUAUAAGACCACACUCCGGCAUCGGAGAGGGGUAAAAGAUUUAUCGGUAUAAGAUGGGCUCGCGGCGCAUUAGCUAGUUGGUACGGUAACGGCGUACCAAGGCGACGAUGCGUAGCCGACCUGAGAGGGUGAUCGGCCACACUGGGACUGAGAUACGGCCCAG